rnacentral:rRNA from 1 species
UACGGGGGGGCAAGCGUUGUUCGGAAUUACUGGGCGUAAAGGGCUCGUAGGUGGCCAACUAAGUCAGACGUGAAAUCCCUCGGCUUAACCGGGGAACUGCGUCUGAUACUGGAUGGCUUGAGUUUGGGAGAGGGAUGCGGAAUUCCAGGUGUAGCGGUGAAAUGCGUAGAUAUCUGGAGGAACACCGGUGGCGAAGGCGGCAUCCUGGACCAACACUGACACUGAGGAGCGAA